AUUAACGAGUUGACGGGGUUGUAGCUGGCCUUCACGGGCAUGUGCACACCUCACUCAUCCACUCUACACCUGUGCACUUACUGUGGGUUUCGAGAGGCCGCGCUUGCGUGGUUGAUCGGGCUCACGUCUAUUACAAACUCUUCAGUAUCAGAAUGUGUAUCGCGAUGUAACGCAUCUAUAUACAACUUUCAGCAACGGAUCUCUUGGCUCUCGCAUCGAUGAAGAACGCAGCGAAAUGCGAUAAGUAAUGUGAAUUGCAGAAUUCAGUGAAUCAUCGAAUCUUUGAACGCACCUUGCGCUCCUUGGUAUUCCGAGGAGCAUGCCUGUUUGAGUGUCGUGUAAUUCUCAACCUAUAAAUCCUUGUGGUUUUUAGGCUUGGACUUGGAGGCUUUUGCUGGCUUUACCGUCGGCUCCUCUUAAACGCAUUAGCUUGAUUCCUUGCGGAUCGGCUCUCAGUGUGAUAAUUAUCUGCGCUGUGACCGUGAAGCGUUUGGCGAGCUUCUAACCGUCUCUUCGAGACAAACACUUUGACAUCUGACCUCAAAUCAGGUAGGACUACCCGCUGAACUUAAGCAUAUCAAUAAGCGGAGGAAAAGAAACUAACAAGGAUUCCCCUAGUAACUGCGAGUGAAGCGGGAAGAGCUCAAAUUUAAAAUCUGGCGGUCUUUGGCCGUCCGAGUUGUAGUCUGGAGAAGUGCUUUCCGCGCUGGACCGUGUACAAGUCUCUUGGAACAGAGCGUCAUAGAGGGUGAGAAUCCCGUCUUUGACACGGACUACCAGUGCUUUGUGAUGCGCUCUCAAAGAGUCGAGUUGUUUGGGAAUGCAGCUCAAAAUGGGUGGUAAAUUCCAUCUAAAGCUAAAUAUUGGCGAGAGACCGAUAGCGAACAAGUACCGUGAGGGAAAGAUGAAAAGCACUUUGGAAAGAGAGUUAAACAGUACGUGAAAUUGCUGAAAGGGAAACGCUUGAAGUCAGUCGCGUCGUGCAGGACUCAGCCUUGCUUUUGCUUGGUGCACUUUCUGUACGACGGGCCAGCAUCAAUUUUGACCGUCGGAAAAGGGCUGAGGGAAUGUGGCACCUUCGGGUGUGUUAUAGCCUUCAGUCGCAUACGGCGGUUGGGAUUGAGGAUCGCAGCGCGCCGCAAGGCAGGGUUCGCCCACUUCGCGCUA
rnacentral:rRNA from 1 species